CUGCUUCCCCCGCCCAUCGCUGGGACCACCUGCAUCUCCUUUUCAUAUGAAAUGGCUGUUUGCAAGAAAAUAUGGAUAAAGUCAUCAUUCUUAAAGAAAAGCUACCAACUCUCAUUCCCUGGCGGCGGUGAGAGAGCGCUCACGGUGCCGGAUCCCGGCGAGCUGGAGGGCUCGGCCGGUCCGCGUGCCUGGCCAGCCACUGCGUGUGUGCCUGUGUCCUUAGCGCGCAUAUUUCCCCUCUGAAGGGAGAAUAAUAAACUCUCCUCGGUUCCCAA